AAAUAGAUAAGCUAAUAUUAAAGCUAUUGGGCUCAUACCUCAAACAUAGGAUUCUCCUUCUAUUUA
rnacentral:tRNA from 1 species